UAAAAUCAGAUUGAGACUCAUCAGUGCUAAGUUAGAGAGAUGGGAUUAUAUAGUCUGUAAGUGCCCUUCAAAUCUUGAGAGCUCCUGUAUUUUGUGUUUUUACAGAGUAUUUUGUUUAAUCCCUAUUUCAACCCUAUAAGGUAGAUACUAUCCUUGAGUUUUCAAAUGAAAAAAAAAACAAAAACUGAGAUUCUACGAUAUUCAGUAAUUUCCCCAAAAUCCCACAGCAAAUGACAGAGCUAGGAUGGGAACCCAGGAGUCAGAAAUCGGAACUUGUGUUCCUAAUCACUUAAGCUAUAUCACAAAUGAGAGAGGUGGAUGAUUCUAUGACUGUAGGGCUCUAAAAUGAUGUGAAGGAAUGAAAUGUCUUCACAUAGACAAGAAAUGUCUAUGUCCUAAUUCCCAGAUCCUGUGAACAUUACUUUAUAUGGUGAACAACGUGAUUCAGUUAAAGAUCUUGAGAUAAGGAACUUAUCCUGUAUUACCUGGGUAGGACCUGCAUCAAUCACAUGUAUUUUUUAAAAGAGGGACGUUUGACACAGACAGAAGACACAUAGAAGAGAAGGUGAUAUGAAGACAGAGGCAGAGAUUGGAGUGAUGCAGCCGCAAGCAACGGAAUACUGGCAGCAACCAGAAUCUGGAAGAGGCAAGGAAUGGAUUCUCCUGCUGGAGCCUCCGGAGGAAGUACAGCCCUGCUGGCACCUUGAUUUGGGACUUCCGUCCUCCAGAAAAGAGAGAAUACAUUUCUGUAGUUUCAAGCCACCAAGUUUGUGGUAAAGUUUUUUACAGCAUCCACAGGAAACUAAUACCAGUGGUAAAGUGUACUUUACCUCCCCGUUUGUCAUAGUUGCUCUUGAUGGCUGGAAUGGUCUGUUUGGGGCUUUGAUAUGGUUUGGCUCUGUGUCCUCACCCAAAUCUCAUCUCCAAUUGUAAUCCCCACAUGUCAAAGGCGGGAUCUGAUGGGAGACGACUGGAUUGUGGCGGCGGAUUUCCCCCUUACUAUUCUCGUGACAGUGAGUGAGUUCUCACGUGAUCUGGUUGUUUGAUAAGUGUCUGGCACUUUCCUCUGCACUGUCUCUCUCUCCUGCUGCCAUAUGAAGAAGGUCCUUGCUUCCCCUUUGACUUCUGCCAUGAUUGUAAGUUUCUUGAGGCCUCCCUAGCCAUGUGGAACUGUGAGUCAAUUAAACCUCUUUUGUUUAUAAAUUACCCAGUCUCAGGUAGUAUCGUUACUAGCAGUGUGAAAACGGACUAAUACAGGCUUGUUAACAUGAUUCUUGCCUUUGGAUCAGCUUGGCAUCAACUGACUCUGAAACAUCAGUAGAAAAAAUAAAAUCAGGUAAAAAUGAGAGAAAGAAAAUUAUACAAUAAGCAAGUUAUAUAAUAAGCACCUAUAUUGUUAUUAUUGCACUUAAGUUUUACCUUGAGCCUCCAGACAGCUGAGGCAAAACGAAAAUCAGGGCGGAUGAUAUAAUUUUCACUUUCUGAUAAAAAGGAAUCAGUUUUGCUUUUCAAGAAACACACAUCUUUCCUUUAUGUUGUAUUCUAGGAAUAACUGAGCAAGUAUGUCUUCACACAGUGGACACUGAACAAGGCAGGAGAUAAAAUGCUCAACAGUGACUCAGACAAGAUCUAGGGCUAUCCUCACGUGGAGGGUUCUCAUGUUAUCCCUUCAUAAACACUACAGCCCAAUAAAGAAACACAGUUCAGCAUCCUGACCACCCAGACUGG
ensembl:lncRNA novel transcript